AAAGCUCUGCAGAAGAGUGUCUGCCUUGGUAGCAGAAGGCCCCGGGUUCAAAUCCCGGCAGCAUCU